GAAGUAUGAUAUGACGAGGCAUGGUUUCUCUUCAGAUGAUACAAUGCACGGAAAAACAUCUAGUGGUGCUACUCAAGUUGUUUGAUAGUAUAAAUACUGAGAUAGUUUAGAAUUUGAAACCUCAAAUAGUCUAUGUUAACUACUCAAGUUAUAUUUAUAUAUCAUUUUUAGAUUGUUAACUAGCAUUUUGUCUAUGUUAUGUCAAUGAAACUAUUCCAUCCCAUGUCAAGGCAUGUUGAUUUUUUUGCAAGUAUAGAAGAAACAUGAAUUUUGCAAUUGUUUAUACACCUUUUACAUAUUUUGUCUUUUACAUAUUUUGCAAUUGUUUAAACAUGAAUUUUGUCUUUGUUAUGUCAAUGAAACUAUUCCAUCCCAUGUCAAGGCAUGUUGAUUUUUUUGCAAGUAUAGAAGAAACAUGAAUUUUGC
rnacentral:lncRNA from 1 species